GAUGAACGCUGGCGGCGUGCCUAAUACAUGCAAGUCGAGCGAACAGACGAGGAGCUUGCUCCUCUGACGUUAGCGGCGGACGGGUGAGUAACACGUGGAUAACCUACCUAUAAGACUGGGAUAACUUCGGGAAACCGGAGCUAAUACCGGAUAAUAUAUUGAACCGCAUGGUACAAUAGUGAAAGACGGUUUUGCUGUCACUUAUAGAUGGAUCCGCGCCGCAUUAGCUAGUUGGUAAGGUAACGGCUUACCAAGGCAACGAUGCGUAGCCGACCUGAGAGGGUGAUCGGCCACACUGGAACUGAGACACGGUCCAGACUCCUACGGGAGGCAGCAGUAGGGAAUCUUCCGCAAUGGGCGAAAGCCUGACGGAGCAACGCCGCGUGAGUGAUGAAGGUCUUCGGAUCGUAAAACUCUGUUAUUAGGGAAGAACAAAUGUGUAAGUAACUAUGCACGUCUUGACGGUACCUAAUCAGAAAGCCACGGCUAACUACGUG
rnacentral:rRNA from 1 species